GAGAGUUUGAUCCUGGCUCAGAUUGAACGCUGGCGGCAUGCUUUACACAUGCAAGUCGAACGGCAGCACGGGCUUCGGUCUGGUGGCGAGUGGCGAACGGGUGAGUAAUACAUCGGAACGUACCCAGAAGUGGGGGAUAACGUAGCGAAAGUUACGCUAAUACCGCAUACGUUCUACGGAAGAAAGUGGGGGAUCGCAAGACCUCAUGCUUUUGGAGCGGCCGAUGUCUGAUUAGCUAGUUGGUGAGGUAAAGGCUCACCAAGGCGACGAUCAGUAGCUGGUCUGAGAGGACGACCAGCCACACUGGAACUGAGACACGGUCCAGACUCCUACGGGAGGCAGCAGUGGGGAAUUUUGGACAAUGGGCGCAAGCCUGACCCAGCAAUGCCGCGUGAGUGAAGAAGGCCUUCGGGUUGUAAAGCUCUUUUGUCAGGGAAGAAACGGUAGAGGCUAAUAUCCUUUGCUAAUGGCGGUACCUGAAGAAUAAGCACCGGCUAACUACGUGCCAGCAGCCGCGGUAAUACGUAGGGUGCAAGCGUUAAUCGGAAUUACUGGGCGUAAAGCGUGCGCAGGCGGUUUUGUAAGUCUGACGUGAAAGCCCCGGGCUCAACCUGGGAAUUGCGUUGGAGACUGCAAGGCUUGAAUCUGGCAGAGGGGGGUAGAAUUCCACGUGUAGCAGUGAAAUGCGUAGAGAUGUGGAAGGAACACCGAUGGCGAAGGCAGCCCCCCUGGGGUCANGAUUGACGCUCAUGCACGAAAGCGUGGGGAGCAAACAGGAUUAGAUACCCUGGGUAGUCCACGCCCCUAAACGAUGUCUACUAGUUGUCGGGGUUUUAAUUAACUUGGGUAACGCA
rnacentral:rRNA from 1 species